AUGUUAUGGUGGGGUUUGCUGGAGGUGUCUUCCUCAACUUUCCCUGUGACUCUGAUGAGCUGAGGGAGCGUUAUUCCCCGGGUGAUUCUGGCCGAGAUUAACUCCGCUGAUUCUGUGUGUCAUUUCCCGACGCUCCUGUGUGGGAGUGAGGGAGCUAACCCAGUAAUCUCACUCAGGAAUUGAUGUUAUUGGCCCAACAGAUAAGAGGUUUCAUUGGCAGUCGUGCUGAAACAAGGAUGCAGCAAUAUCAAAGUCUAUCAGAUGAACCCAGAUUGAAAUGCUGCCUCCAAUCUCUCCUCUCAAUUAUCUGCUGAAUGGCGCCGGCGCUGAGGCUUUUGUGUGGGGAUGCCUGCGAACGCAGCAGUCAUUGAAGCUCUUUGUAGGCUCAAGGCUGCAUGUUGCUAAAUGAGUGAAGAACAGGACAAUUAAAAGGCAGCUGAAAUGAA